CGCGUAGGUGGUUCAGUAAGAUGGGAGUGAAAUCCCCGGGCUCAACCUGGGAACUGCUUUCAUAACUGCUGGGCUAGAGUACGGUAGAGGGUAGUGGAAUUUCCUGUGUAGCGGUGAAAUGCGUAGAUAUAGGAAGGAACACCAGUGGCGAAGGCGACUACCUGGACUGGUACUGACACUGAGGUGCGAAAGCGUGGGGAGCAAACA
rnacentral:rRNA from 1 species